rnacentral:rRNA from 1 species
CACCAUCUACCUGUGCUGUCCAGUUGGAACGUUGCUUGGCACCACCACAUGCCCCCGUCUGCUGUUGAGACGGGCACGGACCGGUCGAGAUGGUCUGUGGGCACGGGACAACACUGAGCGGACGGCUACCCUGCGAGCACUCUGUGCUUUGGGGUGUUCUCCGUCGAUGGUGCUUGGUAUACUGACUCGUUGCUGAGCAUAGUGAUAAUAAAAGCCUGAGGUUUGGCUGCGAGGCAAUUGAGUUGGUGGCGGACCGCCUCGCUGGUGGGUUUGCUGUACCGUCGAAGGGAGCACGCUCGUUGGGUAACCCAACGGCUGUGCUGGUGUCUGUGCGUCGUUGAGCGGUUGUUGUGCCUGGCACAUGUGACACACUGGCCUGGGAAGGUGGUUCUUUCCUGGCCUUACGAACCGUAACUAGCGGUGUGUCUGUGCUUGUGUGCUACGUCCGUGGCCGUGAUGAGACGACGUGGUAGGGUCCGUGCUCUGCUUAUAGCACGUGGCUUAAGACUUAAUGAGUGUCAGCUAGGCACCGCCAGUGUUUUUUUUCAUUUAUUUUUUUGACCACUUCUUUGUUGAAGGAAGAAAUUCUAGUCUUAUCGGUGGAUCACUCGGCUCGUGGAUCGAUGAAGAACGCAGCCAACUGCGAUAAUUAGUGCGAACUGCAGAAACCUUGAACACAAAACUUUCGAAUGCACAUUGCGCCAUUGGAGUUACAUCCAUUGGCACGCCUGGUUCAGGGUCGUUAUCAUAAAAGGCACUGCUGUGCCUGUUAUGUUGGUGAGAUCAUGUCUGCAGGACGUGUUCUUGCGCUAUUCUUGAAAAUGCUCGGCCGUGGAGUGUGGUUGUGUUGGCGCGAAACUGUCAGGUUCUUUCGCGUUUUACGGUCCGUAACUAGGGCGCAACUGCUCUCCAUGUGUGCUGGGUGGAAUGCUUCGCUGGUAGGCAUUCCGUGUUUGAAUUUUCGACCUGAACUCAGACGUGAGUACCCGCUGAACUU